rnacentral:rRNA from 1 species
UGCGUAGAGUGCAAACGUUAUCCGGAUUUAUUGGGCGUAAAGAGUUGCGUAGGCUGAUCCGUGCAUCUUAUUUGAAGUACUGUGGCUAAACCAUAGAUUUGGAUAAGAUAUGACGGAUCUUGAUGAUUUGGGAGGGUGCUGGAACCGAUGGUGUAGCAGUGAAAUGCGUUGAUAUCAUCGGGAACACCAAAGGCGUAGGCAGGCACCUAACAAAUUUAUGACGCUGAGGCACGAAAGCUGGGGUAGCGAAACAG